rnacentral:tRNA from 1 species
GAAGGUAUAUCUCAAGUGGUAGAGCUCAUGCUUAGCAUACAUGAGGUCCUGGGUUCAAUCUCCAGUGUCUCCU